CAUCAGAGCAGUUAAACAGACCUUAUCAGGUGACCAUAAAGUGAAAGUACUUUUACCCUGAAGCUUAUCGCUCUCUGAGGUGAGUCGACUCGUCAACGCAACACGACGCAACAAUUUUGCAGUCCGGCUACUCUUGAACGGUUUUAUCAUUUGAGUGGCUUCUGGCUUCGUUGGACUGGGUAUUGCUGUUUCAGGAGCUGUUAUCAUCAUGGGGAAUUCGUGUUCUCGUUGCUUCACUGGCGAUGAUGAGGGGCAGGGUUAUGAUCAAAUACAAGGCAACAACGGUGGGGACGACAGUAGUCGAUCACCUGGCCCUGCAACACCAAAGACACAUGACAUGAAACCGACGGUUACGGUGCUGGACACAAUGAAGACAGAGAGGGAAACAGUGAAGACAGAGAGGGAAACACUGAAGACAGAGAGGGAAACAGUGAAGACAGAGAGGGAAACAGUGAAGACAGAGAGGGAAACACUGAAGACAGAGGUGAAAACACUGAAGACAGAGAGGGAAACACUGAAGACUGAGCUGGAAAACCAGAUGGAUGAUGUCAAACAGCAACUUGAUGAGGUUGAUGAGGAAAAGAAGAAAAACAAGGAGAAGCUUCAGGAAGUGGAGAAAAAAUUAAAAGAGACAGAAGAAAACUAUGACAAACGAGAGGAACUGUUAAAAGAAAAACAAGAACUAUUACAAACUGAAAGGAGGUUAGGUGAC